UACAGAGGGUGCGAGCGUUAAUCGGAAUUACUGGGCGUAAAGCGUGCGUAGACGGUCAUGUAAGUCGGGUGUGAAAUCCCCGGGCUCAACCUGGGAAUUGCAUUCGAGACUGCGUGGCUAGGGUGCGGAAGAGGGAAGCGGAAUUUCCGGUGUAGCGGUGAAAUGCGUAGAUAUCGGAAGGAACAUCAGUGGCGAAAGCGGCUUCCUGGUCCAGCACCGACGUUCAGGCACGAAAGCGUGGGGAGCAAACAGG
rnacentral:rRNA from 1 species